CACGUAGGGUGCAAGCGUUGUCCGGAUUCAUUGGGCGUAAAGGGCUAGUAGGCGGCUUAGCAAGUCGGGUGUGAAAUCUUCAGGCUUAACCUGGAGCGGCCAUCCGAGACUGCUAUGGCUAGAGUCCGGUAGGGGACCACGGAAUUCCUGGUGUAGCGGUGAAAUGCGCAGAUAUCAGGAGGAACACCGAUGGCGAAGGCAGUGGUCUGGGCCGGCACUGACGCUGAAUAGCGAAAGCGUGGGUAGCGAACAGG
rnacentral:rRNA from 1 species